rnacentral:tRNA from 1 species
CGCGGGAUAGAGCAAUUGGCAGCUCGUCGGGCCCAUAACCCGAAGGUUCCCGGUUCGAGUCCGGGUCCCGCAACAA